AUUGAACGCUAGCGGGAUGCUUUACACAUGCAAGUCGAACAGCAGCGCGGACUUCGGUCUGGCGGCGAGUGGCGAACGGGUGAGUAAUGUAUCGGAACGUGCCCAGUAGCGGUGGAUAACUACGCGAAAGCGUAGCUAAUACCGCAUACGCCCUACGGGGGAAAGCAGGGGAUCGUAAGACCUUGCACUAUUGGAGCGGCCGAUAUCGGAUUAGCUAGUUGGUGAGGUAACGGCUCACCAAGGCGACGAUCCGUAGCUGGUUUGAGAGGACGACCAGCCACACUGGGACUGAGACACGGCCCAGACUCCUACGGGAGGCAGCAGUGGGGAAUUUUGGACAAUGGGGGCAACCCUGAUCCAGCCAUCCCGCGUGUGCGAUGAAGGCCUUCGGGUUGUAAAGCACUUUUGGCAGGAAAGAAACGUCGCGGGCUAAUACCCCGUGGAACUGACGGUACCUGCAGAAUAAGCACCGGCUAACUACGUG
rnacentral:rRNA from 1 species